rnacentral:tRNA from 1 species
UUGCGGUAGUGUAGUGGUUAACGUUUCUGACUUUGAUGUUUAGGGGGUCCGGGUUCGAUGCCUGGCGUGGAAA